CGUCCUCUUCCGUGCUCCACCAGCCCCGGCACCUCUGCUGAUCUUCCUGGGUCAUACGUGUCUGUUUACUAGUCUAUCUCCACCAGACUGGAAGCUUCCUGGGAAUUAGGAUCUUAUCUGAGGUUAUAAAUACAAAUAACAACAGAAACGAUGGCAUUAAAAAAUUACCCUUUUUUGGGUGGCUGGCUCCUCGUCUGCUUCUGCAUCUGCAUCUGAUCUGCUGCAAACGUGUGUGAAGAAAACCUAGCCUCCCACCGGAAGGGGGAGAGAGAAAGCAUUUAAUAGCGGUUUCAGGUUAAUCAGAGAGCAUGCACAGAAGUAUGAGAGGGAGAAGCAG